AACUUGAAGGCUUUCGGAGGUUCUCUCUCAAUUCCAGUCUCCGACAGACAAUAGCAAAAGUGAAAAGCCAUAGUCAAUAAAACCAUGGCGAUGCUGUCUGCAUCCCUCUCCGGCCCCAAAUCCGCCGCCUCAUAUUCCUCUCCUCAUUUUUCAGGCCUCCGCCGAUUAUGCUCUAAGCUCGACAGCAACACUUCUCACUCGUUUCUCCGCCAUUUCAAUUCUCAACUCCGCGUUUCAUCUCUUCGCAAACCUUCCAGGAACGUCGUUGCGAUGGCUGGCACUGGAACGUUCUUUGUUGGGGGGAACUGGAAGUGUAAUGGGACAAAAGAAUCUAUCACUAAGCUCGUUUCUGACUUAAAUGAUGCAAAAUUGGAGGCUGAUGUUGAUGUUGUUGUAGCACCUCCCUUUCUUUACAUCGAUCAGGUAAAGGCUUCCUUAUCAGAUAGAAUUGAGAUAUCUGCUCAAAAUUCCUGGGUUGGAAAAGGUGGAGCAUUCACAGGAGAAAUCAGCGUGGAACAACUGAAAGAUAUUGGCUGCAA
rnacentral:misc_RNA from 1 species